rnacentral:lncRNA from 1 species
UGAGGGCCACCAUCCCACUCACUGAGCUCCUCCCCACAGGAAGCCCUGUCCUCACUCCACCUCCCAGGAAGGCAAGCCUGUGCCGGCCGCCUUCCCCUGAGAAGAUCUGGCUGCCCUGAGCCCCGGGUGAUGUCCAUCCCUGGUUCACCGGUUCAGUGAAUGUGUGCUGAGCCUCCAUCGUGUUGUGGAGCUGAAUGCCACUCAGGAUACACGGCAGGGAGAAGAAAAUCAUGCAGGCGUGUGCAGUGGGAGCUGUUAGGAGACAUCUGUGUGCGCAAGUCAUGAGGACUGGUGGCAGGUUGAGAUUUGGAGGUCUGCCUCUAGAAGGCAUGUGAAGCCCUGAAACUGGGCGAGUACAAGGACCUGCCUGAACCCUGGGAACCCCCAGGUUAAGAGGUCAGGGAGAGGAGAUAAACGAGAAAAGGAGGGUUUCUCUAGAAGCCAAGAAACUGCUUCAAAAUGGAAGAAGUGGAUAAACAGCAGUGACAGGUUCGUGCAGUGAAAAGCCACCCUCAGUAAGAAGGGAUCAGCUGCUGAUACAAGCCACAACACCGGUGACUCUCACACCAUCGUGCUGACAAAAGAAGCUCUACACAAAAGAACACAGACCAUAGGAUUCCAUUUAUAUGCAAUUCUAGAAAAUGCAAAAUAAUCCUAGUGACAGAAAGCAGAUCUUUGGCUCCCCAGGGCUAUGGUUUCAGGGUGGGAACUGACUGCAGGUGGGCUCCAGGGGACUUUUUGGGCUGUUGCCAGUGUUCUGUAGCUCGAUGUGGCAGUUGUUACAAGUAUGAGUGCUUUUGUAAAAACUCAUUAAAUUGUACGCUUCCAAUGAGUGCAUUUUACUGUAAGUAAACUCUACCUCAAUAAAG